CACGUAGGGGGGCGAGCGUUUGUCCGGAUUCAUUGGGCGUAAAGGGCGCGCAGGCGGCCCGGAAAGUCGGAUGUGAAAAACUCGAGGCUCAACCUCGAGCGUGCACCCGAUACUGCCGGGCUUGAGGCAGGUAGGGGAGAUCGGAAUUCCUGGUGUAGCGGUGAAAAUGCGCAGAUAUCAGGAGGAACACCGGUGGCGAAGGCGGAUCUCUGGGCCGGUACUGACGCUGAGACGCGAAAAGCGUGGGGGAGCGAACAGG
rnacentral:rRNA from 1 species